GCGUUUUGCAUCCAUACGUUUUUUUUCCGGGAUACUGACUGCAUAGUAAACUAUCAAUGUACUAGUUAAUGUUCUCGAGGGAUGACCCUAUUACAGAGACAUAUAUACACAUAUGUGUAAAUAUGUCUCUGCCCUAUUACGUGUCAGUAACCUCCUCGACACGGUUCAUUUUUAAAUCGGCUCAGUUUUGUCUUAAGAAUAAACAUAAUUGAUAAGUUUCUUUCCCCUGCAUUUCUCGAUCGCACUUGUAAAUAGCACAUUGAUCUCAAGACAUUGGUUACAACACUUGCCGUCAGUACUCAAAAUUGGAAAAAUAUUAAAUAAGAAGGUUGCCAGCAAGAUGAAAAGAACAAUGCAGUUCAAAAGUCAAAAUGUGGAUAAGCUGCGGUACAAGGUCCUACUUUUGCAGAUUUUCAUAGUUUGCAUGAAUGAAUUUGAAGUUUAUAUCAUGGAGGGCAGAGAAAGAAAAGAAACACUUCAGUUUUCCUGCUUCUGAAGGAUAAAUGUAAAACAUCUUGUUUGAAGGAUUGAAAUUCAUCACUGAGAAUAAAAGGAGAAAACACAGAAACAAGACCAAAAUAAAUUCAAAGACAAAAGUCAGAUCAGUUAUUAUUUUCAUCACUCAGCCAAUGAAUUGAAGUUCUAUUAAAUAUCUAAAGAUAUUAAAACCUCAAUAAUGACAAUGUUCUGUGCUGAAUGGCAAAAAAGUGGACUAUACAUUACGAUCACACAAUGCUGGAUGAUAAGAAACUAUUAAUUUUUUGGGUGGAGGGAUAUCCUGAAAAAAAAUUAGAUUUAUGUAAAAAGCUACUAGUAUGUUAAGCCUAUUAAUAGAGUUUUCAUUGAUUUCAAAUGGGAAAAAAUUGUGUUUCAAAAAAUUAUUCUAGAAUUCAUAAAUAAACAUAUAUUGAUACUUACAUUAUCUGCUUUGUUGUUUAAAAGUUUAGUUUUGAACAGUUAUAGAACAAUAUAAUUGCAUUAACAUUUCCAAGGAAAAAAAAGAUAUUCAACUAAAAAGAUUCAUCUUAAAACAAUUUACUACCAAACAGAAUUCAUUGUAACAUACACAUUUAUUUACUGUAUAUUUAUAAUUUGAAUCAUAGGACUUUAUUUUGUCCCAUGGGAUAUUAAAAAUCCCAUGGGAUAAUUAUAGUCCCAUGGGAUUUUUUUUGUCCCAUGGGACAACAAAUAUCCCAUGGGACUACAAUUAUCCCAUGGGACCCAAAAAAAUCCUAUGGGAUUUAACCAAAAUCCCAUGGGAUAAUGGUCAAUCCCAUGGGAUUUGCUGUAUCCCAUGGGAUAUUGAAAAUCCCAUGUUUUUCUAAAUCAAAUUACAAAAUAGAUAUAAUAAUAACAGCAGAAAAGCAAUGAAUUUAUUGAAUCCCAUGUAAUUCCGCACAUUUUGGUUAUAUACACGACACUGUAGCUCUAAGGAGAGGCGGCGGCGGAUUUGCAAAUGAGUGUUUUGCAAAUUAAAAGU